rnacentral:tRNA from 1 species
GUUUUUUUAGUAUAAAAAGUAUGUUUGCCUUCCAAGCAAGAGGUUUAUAGAAGAUAAAAAAAGCA